GGAAGAGCCACAGCCAGGGAAGACUUGCCUCUUGUCUGGUCAUCAGCAGGUUGUGGCCUGUACGGCCUCCAGUCAAGACAGUACCUGGAUGCUGUGUGGCUCUCUUGAAGGCAUCACUUGUAGCCAUCCUGUGCCUUAGAGGCUUAUUCAAGAUAAAGAAACCAAGUUAUAAAAAACAGGUGGCAAAGCUUGAGUGGAAUCAUCAAUCUCCAGGCCGGUGUUUCCUCUCUACCCAGCCCAAGCUUUCUGGGAGAAGCAGGAACUCUAAUGAAGUCUGACUGUUGGCCAUGGGUGCUGGACUCCUUCAGUGUGUCUGGAAACAAGGAGGAAACUUACUGACUGGAACUUCCUGCGUCAAUGCUGAAUCCACACAGACAGCUGAUAGUGUGUUUCAGUAGCAGAAAAAGGAAACACAUGAGGUAGCGGGACUGUAAUUAAGAAUGAGUGGAAAACAGGAAAACAAAUGGUCUCACAGGCAGGCCAAAUAUGGUGGUGCUUGGAUUAGUUCCUUCCUGCUCUUGGCAAAGUAGUUACCAUUCAUGAUGCAGAAGGCUCUCAAGAUGUCCAAUGCUCCUGGAUGCUCUAACAGUGGGUUCUUUGAACAGCUCAACAGACUGUGGACUGUAGUAUGCAAAGUGCUGGGAUAGAGGGGGGGGGGUUGGAGGGCAUAACCAGAAAUGAAUAUAGUAGGCUCCCUGCUUCUAGUCUCAUGGGAAAGACUGAUCUGCCGUAAACAAGUUCUUGGAACAUGAGGCAGAAUGAAGUAAGUGCCAUAACUGAGUGAAAAAGUAAGAGCUAUGUGAGCCAGCAGCUAGAGGAUGCUUUCCAACAGGGAUAAUGGAAGCUUCAGGUGGGGAAGAGAUUUAUUGCAGGCCUCGAAGCACAGUGGAAUUUAGCUGGAAGAAAACAGGGAGAAAAUUCUGGGCUCGAGGCCUACAGAUCUUGGGCUUAUUUCCUGUGUUCUAGUUUAUUAGUGGACCAUGGUAGGGUGAGCAAGUUGUGAUCAGCAGGGAGCCAGGAGAGGGCUAGGCACAGAAAAGAAUAAUGGAGAGGUGAUUUUCAUGGGUUUCUGUUCCGGAACACGGAAAGGCUUGGCUCUAUUCUAUUACUCAAUUUUCCUCAUUGAUUUCUGGAUGGGAAUAGAGUUGGACUGGAGCAAAUUAAGAAAUUAAUUAGAUCUCUGAGUACCUAGCAACCCUCAGCAGAGUUCUAUGAUAAAUGCUGACAAGAGUAAAGACUAAGUUGGGUUUUAAAUUAUACAACAGUCCCUGAAUCUCAUCUUUCUGACUAGCUUAGUUCUGUACCUACGCAAAGAACAGCUUGCUCAGGCAUGCAUAUGGAAAUAUGACAUGGGUAUUCUGCCUGGUUUUACACUCCUCGUGGAGUGGAGAAGUUAAAGGGACAGAAACAUAUGUACCUUUAACAGAGUCAUCUGACACCAAAGAAAAUGGGACAUGAAAAAUAGCCCAGAACUUUGAGUAACCACAUUAGUGACUUUUGAAAGAUGGUGAAGGGGUAUUGAGGAAGAGGCUGCAGAGGUCUUCAUGGCAGCAGGCAUGGUUGGAAGCUUUCCUGUCUCUAUAGGCAACAAUGCACAGGAAGCUGGAAACAGGUUCAAGAACCAUCCAUGUCUUGUAACAGAGUCAGGGGCUGAUAAGGUUAAGGGGGCUUGUGAGCCAGAAAAUGGUAACCAGUUAAAGGGUCAAAAAGGUAGAGGGCAAUAGGGAUCAGGACAGGGGAAACACGGAGCCCCUGGAAUGAGCAGGGAAAAUGCAAGCAAGCAUGGCUUUCUGAUUGCUCUCUUAAGUUGAGAUCUAGUCCUUGGUAGAUCUUAGGCAGUGAUACUUGUGUGCUCAGACCUGGCUGUAACCAGAGGGGGAGUCUAAGAGAGAGAGAUUUGCAGCUUUGAGAAGUAGAGUGGGAGAAUGACCUUCAGGUUUCCCUUCUUCUAACUCUUAUUAGUAACAACGGUGUUUUGCUAUAGUAACUCUUGUGUGCUAUUGUCUAUUUGACAGACAUGGUAGCACAAUAUUGUAAUCCAGCCUGGACUGCCACAAAUAAAUAAACAA